AUCCAGCUGACGAGUCCCAAAUAAGACGAAACCGGAGUCCUGGAU
rnacentral:hammerhead_ribozyme from 1 species